rnacentral:lncRNA from 1 species
GAAUAACAACAAUGGAGCUGAUCCUGCUUGCGGAUUCCCGUAACCUGCAUCUGUGCUGUUUGAAGUUGAGUUGGUGCUUAUAUCAGUAUUUCCAGAAGCUAGUCCUCCAGGUGGGUUUAAAAUAGCUUGAUAGGUUGCUGUUGCGAUUAGCACGGCCACCACAAGCAACGCGCUGCGUUUCUCGCCAGACAUGGAAUUAAUACUAGGAUUUCUAGGAUUUGGCACUUUAACCAAUCUGUAAUUUGGCGCAGAAAAAUGUCCCAGCCAUGAUCUCGCCGGAAUCAAAGCACAAUAAUCAGCUAAAUUUAUAGUUUUUGAAUGGGAUGUUGAUCUUUUUGCACCUGCAGCACACAAAGCUUUUGCAAUACUUCCAUGCUCUUCUGCAUUUGGAUGUCCCAAGGCAAUAUCAAGUGCAGUUAAACCCGCCACGUUGCAACAGUUGAUAGCCCUCCUAAACGUCCGUUGCUUAAUAAUUAAUCUCGCGGCCUGAGCCAAAUCGACAUAAUAUUAUGAUACAAAGUCAAAAUUCCCCGUAUAAUGCAAUUUAAGAAAACAAUUGUUGAUUUUUUUUUUUGGGUGGAAACCAAUAGCUGAUGCUGAUUAGGAAAGGUAUAUUAGGUACAUCUAAAUCAUGCUUCCUAACAUUCCAAAAAAAGGGUAGAAGAUGUACAUUUCUAUUUAGGAGUUUGUAAGUAGCAGGUGGAUUGUGCCUAACAAAAGGCUAAUUGAUACAAAAGAAUGAACAGUCAAAAAUAAAGACCAACUACUAGAAUGAAGAUAAGGGAUCAGGAGUCGUGCCUCAAUAUUGUUUCUGCUGGAUGCUGCAAGGUGUAAGACCGUAUUACCAUUCUCAUCUUCCCAUUCCAAGAUGUGUUUGUUGCCAGUUUCUUCCAUCCAACCUAGUAGUACCUUGAAGCCUCUCAAGUUGCUGUUGUUAACAGCAAUAUGAACAGCACUCUCUCCUGCAAUUGUCAAGUCUUCAAUGGAUUUUGGGCAUCUGUACAAAAACUCAGCCAGGAGAUCAGCUCUAUCCUCUGCUUCAGAAACAUAGUGCAAGGGGGUAAUGCCUUUUUUUCCUUCGACACGAAUGAGCUGAGGGUCAUGCUUGAUGAGCCCUCUUACAGUUUGAGUAUGUCCACCGCGCAACGCGAGAUCCAGUGCACUUAAACCAUCAAGGCUGAGCUUCUUACCAAACGAAGGCUUCAAGCGAAGGACUUCACUUGCGAAGUGAGUUGAGCCGGCAGAUGCAGCAGUGUGUAAAGGUGUCUGCACAAAUGGGAUUGUAUCUAUGCGAUCUAAAAUGUAUGGAUCCUGCCCGAGUAACCCAUAAAAGGCAUCGAUGUUGUUUUCUUGAGCAGCCAUCAAGACCUGUUGAACCACGUCCAAGGUUUGCUCCAUCAAGGUCUAUUUUGGGUACGAGGGUCUUAAUUUGAUACCCCGAAUAGUUG